rnacentral:rRNA from 1 species
UACGCGGCUUACCAUGCAGUCGAGCGGUAACAGGUCUAGCUUGCUAGACGCUGACGAGCGGCGGACGGGUGAGUAAUGCAUAGGAAUCUGCCCGGUAGUGGGGGAUAACCUGGGGAAACCCAGGCUAAUACCGCAUACGUCCUACGGGAGAAAGGGGGCUUCGGCUCCCGCUAUCGGAUGAGCCUAUGUCGGAUUAGCUAGUUGGUGGGGUAAUGGCCCACCAAGGCGACGAUCCGUAGCUGGUCUGAGAGGAUGAUCAGCCACAUCGGGACUGAGACACGGCCCGAACUCCUACGGGAGGCAGCAGUGGGGAAUAUUGGACAAUGGGGGCAACCCUGAUCCAGCCAUGCCGCGUGUGUGAAGAAGGCCUUAGGGUUGUAAAGCACUUUCAGCGAGGAAGAACGCCUGGCGGUUAAUACCCGCCAGGAAAGACAUCACUCGCAGAAGAAGCACCGGCUAACUCCGUGCCAGCAGCCGCGGUAAUACGGAGGGUGCAAGCGUUAAUCGGAAUUACUGGGCGUAAAGCGCGCGUAGGUGGCUUGAUAAGCCGGUUGUGAAAGCCCCGGGCUCAACCUGGGAACGGCAUCCGGAACUGUCAAGCUAGAGUACAGGAGAGGAAGGUAGAAUUCCCGGUGUAGCGGUGAAAUGCGUAGAGAUCGGGAGGAAUACCAGUGGCGAAGGCGGCCUUCUGGACUGAUACUGACACUGAGGUGCGAAAGCGUGGGUAGCAAACAGGAUUAGAUACCCUGGUAGUCCACGCCGUAAACGAUGUCGACCAGCCGUUGGGUGCCUAGCGCACUUUGUGGCGAAGUUAACGCGAUAAGUCGACCGCCUGGGGAGUACGGCCGCAAGGUUAAAACUCAAAUGAAUUGACGGGGGCCCGCACAAGCGGUGGAGCAUGUGGUUUAAUUCGAUGCAACGCGAAGAACCUUACCUACCCUUGACAUCCUGCGAACUUGGUAGAGAUACCUUGGUGCCUUCGGGAACGCAGAGACAGGUGCUGCAUGGCUGUCGUCAGCUCGU